UACGUAGGCAGCGAGCGUUGUUCGGAAUUACUGGGCGUAAAGCGCACGCAGGUGGCUGAGUCAGUCGAUUGUGAAAGCCCUGGGCUUAACCUGGGAAUUGCAGUCGAUACUACUUAGCUAGAGUAUGGGAGAGGGUAGUGGAAUUCCCGGUGUAGCGGUGAAAUGCGUAGACAUCGGGAGGAACAUCAGUGGCGAAGGCGGCUACCUGGCCCAAUACUGACACUCAGGUGCGACAGCGUGGGGAGCAAACAGG
rnacentral:rRNA from 1 species